GCUUAACCACUGAGGAGAACUUCACCAUUCACCAUGUCUUCAGGCAGAGUCCAGCAAAGCAGCUUCCACUGGAAAUCCUCAGGGAAGUUAUUUUGUCGGCGGGUGACUCUGCAUAUUUGACACUUUCUCUGAUUUGCAGAUGGUUAAGGGAUGUGCUCCGAAGUUUUUUGGAAAGCGGCACAGUUUGUCUGGCUAGACAUUGUGGCCAACUGGAAGAAUUGUCCUCCUGUCUCCUGACCGGAACGAGUUCAGAC